rnacentral:rRNA from 1 species
AGAGUUUGAUCCUGGCUCAGGAUGAACGCUGGCGGCGUGCCUAAUACAUGCAAGUCGAGCGAACAGAUAAGGAGCUUGCUCCUUUGAAGUUAGCGGCGGACGGGUGAGUAACACGUGGGUAACCUACCUAUAAGACUGGGAUAACUUCGGGAAACCGGAGCUAAUACCGGAUAACAUUUAGAACCGCAUGGUUCUAAAGUGAAAGAUGGUUUUGCUAUCACUUAUAGAUGGACCCGCGCCGUAUUAGCUAGUUGGUAAGGUAACGGCUUACCAAGGCGACGAUACGUAGCCGACCUGAGAGGGUGAUCGGCCACACUGGAACUGAGACACGGUCCAGACUCCUACGGGAGGCGGCAGUAGGGAAUCUUCCGCAAUGGGCGAAAGCCUGACGGAGCAACGCCGCGUGAGUGAUGAAGGGUUUCGGCUCGUAAAACUCUGUUAUUAGGGAAGAACAAAUGUGUAAGUAACUGUGCACAUCUUGACGGUACCUAAUCAGAAAGCCACGGCUAACUACGUG